UACGGAGGGUGCGAGCGUUGUCCGGAAUCAUUGGGCGUAAAGGGCGCGUAGGUGGCCCGGUCAGUUCGUGGUGAAAGCGCGGGGCUCAACCCUGCGUCGGCCAUGAAUACUGCCGCGGCUGGAGCACUGUAGAGGCAGGCGGAAUUCCGGGUGUAGCGGUGGAAUGCGUAGAGAUCCGGAAGAACACCGGUGGCGAAGGCGGCCUUCUGGACAGUGACUGACGCUGAGACGCGAAAGCGUGGGGAGCAAACAGGG
rnacentral:rRNA from 1 species